UGGGUCUGUUUUUGCCAACCAACUGUAAAAUAAAAAUUCGAUUAAAUCAGGAAUUCAGAUAAAUUAUAAAUAUACACAUUUUUGCUCUUCAAUUUUCUCAGUUCAGUAAGUCUAGAGCUAUGUCAUACCUAAGCUAAGAAAGCAUUAUCACUUACAAUAUUGGAUUAGACUAAUUUUUUAACUCUAAACUUAGAAAUAGUAAAUAGAAAAGGGAGGUAAUCAUACAAAUUACAUAUUGACAAUUAUUUGAUAAUUGUGUUGCCUUUAAUUUGAAAAAAAAAAACUGUUUUAAUAUUUAACAUAUAUAUAUAGUACUGACCAAUUGUUAUAUUUGGGUAAUUUUU